rnacentral:lncRNA from 1 species
CUUGGAUUGUAACUCGACUUUGUUCUUUUUCAAGAAUGCCCCCUUUUCAGGGUUAGUCGUCGAUUUUUCGGUACCUUCUCCGAUGGAGAACGCAAAACUUCGAGUGGGGAGUGUUUUCCACAGACGGCACCAAUCUGUUGACCCCGGAAAUUGGUCCUUCCACGUAGCCAACUGAAAGCUACUCCACAUAUUCCUCCCAGCGCACAAUCAACGAAUAGUCAGGCGCACACGACCGGAACCAACGGGGGGUGGCGACCGUAUGCACUCCGACGAUCAAGUCAGGUUUGGAUGAUCGGAACAGUACCCAGGGGCUAUGCAAAUCAACAAUAAAGGGGGAGGAGAAAAUAUAUAAACUUGCUAUGUAGUGCUAUGUAUUAAGGGUUUCAUUACCUUUGUCUCUUGCCAAACCUUGGGUAUUUAUAGGUGGUAUGAACAAUCAAAUUCUUUGCUAUCUCCUAACAAAUUUUUGUUGAAGCGUCUGCUCAUAGGCAUCAAUCAGCCGCGUUUGUAGAGUGGACGGACAGUUUGUUUCCUCUGAGUUGAAUUGACAUAAAGUUGAUAAGUCACUUCAACUAGCCUCAUGGAGACGUCAAAUCAAUUUAAGCCUUAGGUGCAGGACAAAUCUCAAAUUGGCGACGGAUCUUCUAACCGGGGUCCACUUGAUUUCGAUCUCGG